AGCUCCAAUAGCGUAUAUUAAAGUUGUUGCAGUUAAAAAGCUCGUAGUUGAAACUCCGGCGUCUUUUGACGUCUGCCUGGAAGAACUAGCGAUACCGUAAAAAGUUUUGCUUUUUUGAACAGGCUUUUACUGUGAACAAAUUAAAGUGCUCAAAGCAGGCUUUUGCUUGAAUAUUCUAGCAUGGAAUAAUAAAAUAUGACUUUAUUCAUUUUAUUGGUUAUUGAAUGAAGUAAUGAUUAAUAGGAACAGUUGGGGGCAUUCGUAUUUAAUAGUCAGAGGUGAAAUUCUUAGAUUUAUUAAAGACGAACUAAAGCGAAAGCAUUUGCCAAGGAUGUUUUCAUUA
rnacentral:rRNA from 1 species